AAGUCGUAACAAGGUUUCCGUAGGUGAACCUGCGGAAGGAUCAUUAUUGAAUAAACUUGAUCAGGUUGUUGCUGGCUCCCCCGAGCAUGUGCACACUUGUCAUCUUUACUUCUCCCCACUGUGCACAUAUUGUAGGCCUGGAAUUCUUGUGAUUAUUUUGUAUAGAUUGAGGACUGCUGUGCUUUAGCCAGCUUUUCCUUGCAUUUCCAGGUCUAUGUUUACCUUCACAACCUCUGAAUAUGUUUAGAAUGUUGGAAUAUAAUAUAUAUAUACAACUUUCAGCAACGGAUCUCUUGGCUCUC
rnacentral:misc_RNA from 1 species